GGAAGAGGUCUGGUUAGCGGGCCCAGGGCAGCCCGCCAGGCCCACCCUCUCUGGCAAGGUGCCCAGAGAGCAACAUAGAGUCUGCAGACUCCGGGAGGCCCAGCAGGGCUGGAGUCCUGAGGUGACCUGGUGGGGCGAGGGGGCCACCGGAGUGGGCCCUGGGGACCAGGACCAGUGAGCACGGCACAUCGCUCAAGGACCAGCAGACGCCAAAGCAGGAUGCCCAGAGUCCCAACGACAGUGCUACUCCUCAGGGGGCACAGAGGGCCCAGGGGGCAGCUGAGUGACAAGAGGUGAGGAGUGAAAAUUGCAAUUUGAGAACCUCUUUGGUCAGCUCUUGGAAGAGGAACUAAUUCUCUCCUGUUAAAACAAGCUCAAGGUUUUUCAAGAAGCCAGCGUGAGCAGCUUGGAUUCCAAAGCCGAGACAGAAACGGGGCCGUGCUUGCCAUUCUGGUGCGAGCUGGACGGGCUUCUCAUCUGCUAGAGCGGGAUUUCACAGUCACCAGGACAUCGCCAUGUGUCGCUGCAGCGCUCGGAGGGUACUCUGAACUGGGAUCUGGCUCUGGCUGCUUUCCCCGCCAGGCCCCAAACUGGCUUGCGUACAAUUUAGCCUGCAUGUUCCACUGUGCUCUUCAUUUACAGUAAGAGAAAAACCUCGGCUCGGGCGAGGAAGUCAAAGACCACGAGGCCAUGGCAAUAAGCAUGAAGUUGAUUUCACUUGGUUUCACAAAAGGCACU
rnacentral:lncRNA from 1 species